GACAGUGUGGCUUAAUAGUUUUGAGUGUUGACUGUGACUCUGGAGACAAGGGUUCAAAUCCCCUCUCAGCUG